GACGAACGCUGGCGGCGUGCUUAACACAUGCAAGUCGAACGGAAAGGCCCUGCUUUUGUGGGGUGCUCGAGUGGCGAACGGGUGAGUAACACGUGAGUAACCUGCCCUUGACUUUGGGAUAACUUCAGGAAACUGGGGCUAAUACCGGAUAGGAGCUCCUGCUGCAUGGUGGGGGUUGGAAAGUUUCGGCGGUUGGGGAUGGACUCGCGGCUUAUCAGCUUGUUGGUGGGGUAGUGGCUUACCAAGGCUUUGACGGGUAGCCGGCCUGCGAGGGUGACCGGCCACAUUGGGACUGGGAUACGGCCCAGACUCCUACGGGAGGCAGCAGUGGGGGAUAUUGCACAAUGGGCGGAAGCCUGAUGCAGCAACGCCGCGUGCGGGAUGACGGCCUUCGGGUUGUAAACCGCUUUCGCCUGUGACGAAGCGUGAGUGACGGUAAUGGGUAAAGAAGCACCGGCUAACUACGUG
rnacentral:rRNA from 1 species